GGAGUUUGGGCCGUGUCUCAGUCCCAAUGUGGCCGGUCACCCUCUCAGGUCGGCUACUGAUCGUCGGUUUGGUGGGCCGUUACCCCGCCAACUGCCUAAUCAGACGCGGGGCCAUCCCAUUCCACCGGAGUUUUUCACACUGUACCAUGCGGUACCGUGCGCUUAUGCGGUAUUAACAGUCGUUUCCAACUGGUAUCCCCCGGAAUGGGGCAGGUUCCCCACGCGUUACUCACCCGUCCGCCACUAAGAUUUAACAAGAUUCUGCCGAAGCUUCAUCAGCGUUAAAUCUCCGUUCGACUUGCAUGUGUUAGGCACGCCGCCAGCGUUCAUC
rnacentral:rRNA from 1 species